rnacentral:SRP_RNA from 1 species
CGGCGGGUAGGGCUGGGGGGCUAGCCCUCCCCUAAAACCUGAAACGGGCUUAAGCAGGGGCCAGAAACCGGGUGGAAGAGGUGCCUGGUCCCCUGCGCGGCCUAGAUAAGAUGGUAUGAGGCCGCGUCCCACCGGAGAACGGUAGGGUGUGGCGCCGCGCGUAGGUGUGGCCUCCCACACCCUCAUGCACCGAACCGCGUCAGGCCCGGGAGGGAGCAGCGCUAAGGUGCAGCCGAGCUGCUGGUGGGGGUGCGUGGCUGACCAUCUCAUCUAGACACGGCGGGGGUACCAGCCCUCGACCACCUCGGAGCCGCCG